rnacentral:rRNA from 1 species
ACCCUUAGAUGUUCUGGGCUGCACACGUGCUACACUGGCAGGUUCAGCGAGCUUCAUGCCCUGAUCUGAAAGGAAUGGGAAAUCUUUUCAAAACCUGCCGUGCUUGGGAUAGAUGUUUGCAAUUAUUCAUCUUCAACGAGGAUUGCCUUGUAAGCGCACGUCAUCAGCGUGCAUUGAAUACGACCCUGUAUUCUGUACACACCGCCCGUCGCUCCUACCGAUUGAAGUUUUCGGUGAGUUGACAGGAGGAUUUUUUUGAAACUGGCUCGCCAGUGGAUUUUAGAUCCAAAUGCCAACGAAUCGAUGGCUUUAGAGGAAGGAGAAGUCGUAACA